rnacentral:rRNA from 1 species
GACGAACGCUGGCGGCGUGCCUAAUACAUGCAAGUCGAGCGAGCGGCGGACGGGUGAGUAAUGUCUGGGAAACUGCCUGAUGGAGGGGGAUAACUACUGUAAACGGUAGCUAAUACCGCAUACCAUCAGAUGUGCCCAGAUGGGAUUAGCUAGUAGGUGGGGUAAUGGCUCACCAAGGCGACGAUCCGGAGCUGGUUUGAGAGGACGACCAGACACACUGGGACUGAGACACGGCCCAGACUCCUACGGGAGGCAGCAGUGGGGAAUUUUGGACAAGGGGGGAAACCCUGAUCCAGCCAUCCCGCGUGUGCGAUGAAGGCCUUCGGGUUGUAAAGCACUGUUGGCAGGAAAGCGGUACCUGCAGAAUAAGCACCGGCUAACUACGUGCCAGCAGCCGCGGUAAUUC